UUUAAUUGAGAGCCUAGUCGCUCUCUUUUAGCCUUAAUAUACUUUGAGCUAGAUUUCCAUCUUAAAUGCUGAUUAUUUUUCUAGUGUAUAUGUUGAACCUGUCAAUUCAAAUAUCUCGAACUAAUAUUCCAAUAAUAAUAAACUAAUAAUAUAUUUUAUCAACUAAUAUUUUGAAUUUAUAUGGAUCGAUUAGUGAAAAUGAGAUAAAUUAAUAUUUAAUCAUUAGAUAUUAAUUCUGGAUUAGGUCCUGAUGGGGUACCACCUAUAUUCUUAAAAAACUGUAGAAAUAUACUUGUCAAACCACUAUUUUUAAUUUUCAACAGAUCUCUAAAAUUGGGUAUAUUUCCUAAAAUUUGAAAAAAGUCCUAUGUAACCCCAAUAUUUAAGUCUGGUUAUAAGUCAAAUGUAUGUCUAUAGACAUAUCUUAAUUGUCAGCUAUCUCCAAAAUAUUUGAAUCUAUUGUCACUAAAAAGCUGUCACUCUUAUUGUCGCAACAGAUCAUUAGUAAUCAACAUGGUUUUAGAUAAAAUAAAUCUAUACUUACUAAUCUAGACUUAUACCAAUCUAAAAUAAUUUUUGCUUUUAAUGAGGGGCACCAAGUUGAUUCUAUAUAUAUAUAGACUUUCAAAAAGCAUUCGGCAAAGUUAAUCAGCAAAACUGGAAUAUUUUGGCUUAAUUAAAUGGCUUAUAUUUAAAUUGGGUUAGUUCAUAUUUAAUAAAUCAUACUCAGGUCGUAAAAUUGCUUUCUGUAGUUUCCUCUGAUAUUAAGUUUACUCUGGGAUACCACAAGGGCCUCAUUUUGGUUCGUUAUUAUUCAUUUUAUUUAUAAAUGAUUUGCCUAGCAUCGUUAAUGCCCCUAUAAAUGUUCUUUUGUUUGCUGAUGAUGCUAAAAUAUUUUCUAUUAUAAAUUCACAGAGUGAUUGUUUGAAUUUACAGUUUAAUAUUGAUAAGCUUAAUGAUUGGAGUAUUAAUAAUUGGUUACCUUUUGACGUUAAUUAGUGUCAGGUAAUAUCGUAUUCCCGUAAGAAAAAACCAAUAUUAUUUGACUAUAGUUUAGGCAAUUCUGUUUUAACAAGAGUUGAUUUCAUUAGACAUUUGGGAAUAAUUUUUUAAUUUAAUCUUUUCUUUUCUU